rnacentral:lncRNA from 10 species
UGAGUGACCAGGCUCCUCACCCCAACCCCCCUCCCUACUCCCGCCAGACUCAGCUGCUCUCCCCGGGAGCUGGGGAGCCGGGGGCGGGCAGCCGCGUCUGUCCUGCCCCUCCUCGCCCCCUCCCCCGCAGCCUGAGGAGGGCGUUAAGCAAGGGGCUUCGGAGAAAUUAGAACCAGCGUUCUAAAUUAAGGGGAGCAGAUGUCCUUGUUUUGCUCGCGAGGCCUGGGUGGCCUGCUGUUCAGACAGAAAUCGUUGAGGCGCUGACCUUCCGGGACUGCUGUCAAUCUCCGCGUGCAGAUGGCCAGCCCGGAGCCUCGCCGCUCCCCUGCAUUGGAAAUGCGGCAGCCGGGGGUGCCGGCAGCUUGAGAGAAAAGCGCUGUCCAUGUGAACAAGGAAAGGGGUGGCCCUACGAUCCUUUACAAUCGGAGGCCUGGGGAGGCCUGGGAGCCCUGGAGCUCCGGAAAAUGUCUGCACCACGCAUGCAAAUGGGUCAUUUCGCUUGGAGAGAGGCAUCUGGCGACAUCGGCAGAAAGGCUCUCUGCCCGGUAGACGGUGAACAAAACCCACAAAACCAGCCAGCCAACAGCGUGCACUAAACACCCCUCUCUGGCCCUUCAAUGCCACCCGGAGUCCUGAAACAUUUUCAGGUUGUUUCCCCUGGAGAGACGUCCCAUGAAAUGUUCAGAAAAGCCAGCUGAGCUGUGCAAAGUCAUUAGUCACCCAGGUCAUUUAUGCCACACUCAGUUAUGAAGCCUAGGAAAGAAGAAAAAAGACCUACUAUGUGCUAGUUCAUGUGCUUGCAAUGUAUCCUCACAGAGACCCUCUGAGUGGGUUCUAUGGUUUUUCCCCUUUUAUAGGCUCAAAGGUUAAUUCAUCCAUUCAAGGCCACACAGCUAAUAGCGUAUCCUGUGGCAUACAGUUUUUAUUCAAGGCUGGCUUGUAUAUAUCAUAUUUAUACAGCGACAAGAACUUUUGAAAUACAAGUUAAGAACUUUAAGGAGAAAAAAACGUUCUUAUUGGAAGCAAAUGAAACAGAAAUUCCAAGUUAAAGCCAAAAGUCAUCCUGAACAUGCUUUUAUUCCAAUGGUAUUACUUAACAGCAAAGUGUUAUAUUACCCUUGAAUUUCCUGCCUAAGCUAAGGGUAGGCCAGGCCCUUGAUGCUGCUUAAAUUGUUCCAUGUAUCCCAACUAUAUCACAAGCAAUGCCAUCACACUUGACUUGUGCCUGAUCUCCAACUUGUCAGUUAGUCAAGAAGGAGGAAAGAAUCUGUUUCCCGUGCACACACUGUAAUUUUUUUUUCCAGUGUUGCUAAGCCUGCCAGAACAAAAGUAAAACCACAAAACAAGAUUUAGAUCAGUGUCUUGAUCACCCUGUUGCUAUUUUACAGUUUUAGGAGGGUUGGACAUCAAACACUUGAAACUGUCAUCUACAUAUUCCUUCUCAGAAUAAGGAAGCACUGGCAUGUACCCCUGCUAAAUUAUUCUCUACCCCCAAAUGUUGGAAACUUUCUCUCCAGGAAAAUGCUCUACAGAAGGCACGUUGAAUUAAUGGAGUUAGUUCUGAGAAAGGUUCUUACUGUCUAAGAUGAACUGUCAUAUGCUGACUUCCGGCCAGGUGGACUCGACGCCUUAGCAGGAAUGUUGCUUAGACAUUUAGCUUUUUCUAAUUUGUUUGCUAUUAUAAACAGUGCUUGAGAAACCUAAAGUACACCCCCACCUAAAAUUACUAUCACGUCGAUUUGUUUAUCUUCUUUAUAAUUGCUUAUCCCAACUGAAUGUUUCAUAGCUUGCAUGCUUGUUUAUGUUCUACUUUCUUUCUCGGGAUCAUGACUUGGGCAUGACACAAGUUACCUCUUCUAUCUUGUUUAUUACCACGUAGUAAGGACUCAGGAAAUAUUUUUGAAUGAAUGAGUAUAUCUUUCAUGCACAUGUAUUUUACUGUUGUACAAUUAUCUUCUUAAGAUAAAUCUUUUGAGUAGUCAAAUUCAUAGACACAGAAAGUAGGAUGGUGGUUGACAGGGGCUAGGGUGGUGGGGGGAGUGAGAAAUUAGUGUUUGAUUAUUUACUUUUAUUUUAUUACUAUUAUUACUUUUGAGAGAGGGUCUCACUGUUGUCCAAGCUGGAAUACAAUGGCGUGAUCAUGGUUUACUGCAACCUCAAACUCCUGGACUCAAGCAGUCCUCCUGCCUCAGCCUCCCAAGUAGCUGGAACUAUAGAUGCACAUCACCACACCCAGCUAAUUUUUUUUAAAUUAUUUUUUGUAGAGACAGGUCUCACUAUGUUGCCCAGGCUGGUCUCAAGGGAUCCCCUGCCUUUGCCUCCCAAAGUACUGGGAUCACAGGCAUGAACCACUGCACCUGGCUGAGAGUUAGUGUUUAAUAGGUGCAAAGCUUCAGUUGGGGAAGAUUAAAAAAAAGUUCUGGAGAUGGACGGUGGUGAUGAUUGCACAACGUGAAUCUACUUCAUGCCACUGGGCUGCACACUUACAAAUGGUUACAAUGUUAGUUGCCUCACAGCCUGAACAAGUAAAAUGGAAGCUGUAAUUAACCUUAAAAAUAUAUAUGUGUCUGAGAUAUAAUUGUAUAUAAGUAUAUGUAUACAGACAUGUAAACUAUUUGUUAAAAAAGAAACUAGAACAAAAAUAUUUUACAUUUACCUGGAAAAUGGUUAAAAUGGUAAAUGUUAUAGUAUGUAUAUUUUACUACAAUAAAAAUGAAUAAAUUUGUUGAAUUGCCAUUCUUGGGCUAAGGGUAAGUGUGCAUAUUUUAAGCUGUGGUAUAUAUUUUGAGACUGCCCUUCAGAAGAAUGAUGCCAAUUUACAUAAAAAACAACUAUAAGGGCAUGAGAAUACCCAUUUCAAUGGUAGGUUUUCUCAGUCUCUUUAUUCUUUGUAUUUGAUAGGCAAAGACAAAGACACACACACAGACACAUACACACACACUUUACUGUUUUAUUAUUUUAUGUGUGAAUAUUAAUAUAGUUGAAACUUAAGAUUGAAUAUUGUUUUAUAUGUUUGGCAUUUCUUCUUUUAUAAGCAGGCUACAUGUAUCUUUUCCCAUUUUUAUGGGGCUCUUUACUUCCUUUUAUUGAUUUGUAGGAGCUCUGUGUAUAGUAAAGGUAUUAAUUCGGUCCAUCAUAUCAUUUGCAAAUAAUUUUUCUCCAGUUCUUUAUUUCUGCGUAAAUGUCAUUUGUGAUCUUUUGCCAUAGGAAAUUUAAAAUUAUAUAUUGUAUCAAGAUAAUCUUUGGGUAAGAAAAUUCCUCGUUCCAAGAUUAUGAAAGUAUUCAUCUGUGUUUUCACCGAGUACAUUUCUGGCUUUGUUUGAUGCAUCUGUAUGUCGAUAAUAAGGAAUCAGGUAAAGAUAUAACUGAAUUGUUCUUCUUGCAAAUCCAUUAUUUUAUCAUAAUUUGUUAUAUAAUCCAUGCUUUCUAUCGGUUAUUUGAAAUGUCAUCUUUUCUUUAUAAUAAGUAACCAUAUUCUUAGGUCUAUUUCACUGAUCUGUCUAUUCCAGCACCUAGGCCAUGCUGUUUUACUUACAGUGAAAGCUAUUAUACCAAUCUAUCUAGAUGGUAUUUGUUGCCAUAAAUCCUCGAUUAGUGAGUCACCUCUGUGUUUGGGAAUUAAUGGAUGAUUGGAAAAUUUUUAAGUUAUAUGUAAUCAUUAAUUGGAAAGGCCGAGUGAGAUCAAGAAUUUUCUGUAAAUGGGAAUCGGCAAGUGUGUUAGAGGUAGCUCCCUAGAAGGACCAGAAUGGUAGAAGGAGAACCAUCACUUCUUGGCAGAGCAGGACACCUGGCACAGUGUCAGGCUUUGUACUUAGAUCCAACGUAUUUCCCCACGCUAGAUUCACUUAGCAACCAGUGUGUUGGAUGGCAAGCUGGUGGGCUUUGCCCUCUUGAUAGUGAAUGCUGUCUCUGCCACCUACUAGGUGUGCGAUCUUAGGUAAGUCACUUAACCAAUCUGCAUUCCGAGACUCAUGGCAGCUAUCCAAUAUGAUUGUUAUAAAGAUUAAACAAUACAUUUAAAUGCACUCUGAAAGUGAUCAUAUUGAAAUAUUGAUCGUCAUUAUUUUUACUUCUACUACUGUUGGGGAGGGAUGCUUCCCUCCCAUGUCUUCAUGCUUGUGCCCAUUCACCUGCCUCCUGGCCUUGCUGCUUCUCAUGAGACAGAGUUCUCCAAGGAAGCGCUGCUAUCAGGACAGUCAGACUCAGAGGCCACCUGUUGACCUCCUUUGAUGAUGGAUGGGAUUGCUACUUGCAAUGUGAUGGACACUCCAGGAAUCUCCCUUCUGAUCCGCCUCUUUCGGGAUACUGCUACUGCUGGCUUCCACAGUUAGGUCAGGGUUGUGCUCUACCUAACAAGCCUUCCUUCAUCCUCUCUUUUUCCUCUAAAAACAUUCUUAAUGUGUUAGUACCAUGAUUUUUAUUUUCUUGCAAGGGAUGUCUUGGUGGUGGAUUAGGAGGUCUGUUUGGCCUUAAGUCUCAACCGCAGGCUCCAACGCAGCUUAACCAGCGAGCAUCUGUUGGGGGCAAUUGGGAAAUAACAAUACAGUGGUAAUUUGAUUGCUAUUCCUUCUGUGUUUUUCGACUCACUCCCCUUGUGUGUUAUUACACACAAUCAAACCUCAUGGGAGGAGGACCGAUUGACAGGGGAUUUGGGCAUUCCUAGUUCUCCAGCACAAAUACCAUCCUGACCGUCAAACCCUCACCUCUCUAACCUCUGACCUCUAUCAAUGACCAAUCCUUAGCAUGGAUCAAUUACUCCCAUAAGGAGGAUAUUCUGCACAGUACCCAUAGUAAGAGUUCAUAAUAACAAACCCAUGUUUGUUAUUAUGAUUGCUACUGCUUUUAGUUGCUACUGAGCAUACAGAAAGCACAGAAGUGGUGUGCUCUGUGAAAGAGGGUAGCUCAGUGCCCAGGUCUCCAUCAUUGUAACCUUGGCCUUCUGCCUGACUCCUUGCCCUUCAUAUGGUCUUCUCUCUGGCCCCUCAGGCCUGGGACUGAAUACCUGGCUCUCCCUUGAUCAUCUGCCGUCUGAAUCCAGCCCAUUUUUAAACCAGUCCCUGCCUUUCCUUCUUGGGUUUGCCUGUGUGCCUCUGCCUUUUAUCUCCAUUUCUCAGGCAGCUUGCCCUGGUCAAUAAAAGAAAGCUGAAUGACUGUUCAAGGCAUCCUGGGUCAGAACAGAAAGGUGAGAGCUUCAAGGCCAUCAGGGAGUUCUGUGAGGUGCAGGCAUGCUGUAAAUGGUAGGCCUGGGGACUCUGACAACUGCACGGCCUGCUCUUAUUAUAAGAAGGCUGCUGCAAUCCUCAGGCAAUGUCCAAUCAUUAGUUUAAUGAGCAUUUACAUUUAUUGAAUAUGUGUGCCACAUGCUG